rnacentral:rRNA from 1 species
UGCAGUCGAACGAUGAACCCGGAGCUUGCUCUGGGGGAUUAGUGGCGAACGGGUGAGUAACACGUGAGUAACCUGCCCUUGACUCUGGGAUAACCUCCGGAAACGGAAGCUAAUACCGGAUAUGACGCACGGAGGCAUCUCCUGUGCGUGGAAAGAACUUCGGUCAAGGAUGGACUCGCGGCCUAUCAGGUAGUUGGUGAGGUAACGGCUCACCAAGCCUACGACGGGUAGCCGGCCUGAGAGGGUGACCGGCCACACUGGGACUGAGACACGGCCCAGACUCCUACGGGAGGCAGCAGUGGGGAAUAUUGCACAAUGGGCGCAAGCCUGAUGCAGCAACGCCGCGUGAGGGAUGACGGCCUUCGGGUUGUAAACCUCUUUUAGUAGGGAAGAAGCGAAAGUGACGGUACCUGCAGAAAAAGCACCGGCUAACUACGUGCCAGCAGCCGCGGUAAUACGUAGGGUGCGAGCGUUGUCCGGAAUUAUUGGGCGUAAAGAGCUCGUAGGCGGUCUGUCGCGUCUGCUGUGAAAACCCGAGGCUCAACCUCGGGCCUGCAGUGGGUACGGGCAGACUAGAGUGCGGUAGGGGAGAAUGGAAUUCCUGGUGUAGCGGUGGAAUGCGCAGAUAUCAGGAGGAACACCGAUGGCGA